rnacentral:rRNA from 1 species
GACGAACGCUGGCGGCGUGCCUAACACAUGCAAGUCGAACGGUCCGGCACUCAACCGACCCUCAGUCUAGCUGUAGGUGAAGUUGAGUGCCGGAUAGUGGCGGACGGGUGAGUAACGCGUGGGCAACCAACCCUGUACAGUGGGAUAACACCGGGAAACCGGUGCUAAUACCGCAUGACACCUAGAUGGUGCAUACUGUUUAGGUUAAAGGAUUUAACCGGUACAGGACGGGCCCGCGUCCCAUUAGCUGGUUGGUGAGGUAACGGCUCACCAAGGCGACGAUGGGUAGCCGACCUGAGAGGGUGACCGGCCACACUGGGACUGAGACACGGCCCAGACUCCUACGGGAGGCAGCAGUGGGGAAUAUUGCGCAAUGGACGGAAGUCUGACGCAGCGACGCCGCGUGAGCGACGAAGGCCUUCGGGUCGUAAAGCUCUGUUCUUGGGGACGAUAAAAUGACGGUACCCAAGGAGAAGCCCGGCUAACUACGUGCCAGCAGCCGCGGUAAGUCAUACUCGUA